rnacentral:rRNA from 1 species
CCUAGGUGGCAGCAGUGGGGAAUAUUGCGCAAUGGGCGAAAGCCUGACGCAGCGACGCCGCGUGUAGGAAGACGGUCCUCUGGAUUGUAAACUACUGUCCCCAGGGACGAAGAUGACGGUACCUGGGGAGGAAGCUCCGGCUAACUACGUGCCAGCAGACGCGGGGAUACGUAGGGAGCGAGCGUUGUCCGGAAUUACUGGGUGUAAAGGGAGCGUAGGCGGGGAUGCAAGUUGGGUGUUAAAUCUACCGGCUCAACUGGUAGUCGCACUCAAAACUGCAGCUCUUGAGUGAAGUAGAGGCAGGCGGAAUUCCUAGUGUAGCGGUGAAAUGCGUAGAUAUUAGGAGGAACACCAGUGGCGAAGGCGGCCUGCUGGGCUUUUACUGACGCUGAGGCUCGAAAGUGUGGGGAGCAAACAGGAUUAGAUACCCUGGUAGUC